AAACCCAAAAGUUUAAGUAAAACAAAUGAAGUUACCAAGUUUGAGAAAGCUUAGUAACCAUUGAACCCAAAAACUUAAGUAAAACAAAUGAAGUUACCAAGUUCGAGAACGGUUAGUAACUACUGAACCCAAAAGCUCAAGUAAAACAAAUGAAGUUACCAAUUCGAGAACGAUUAGUAACCACCGAACCCAAAAACUUCAGUAAAACAAAUGAAGUUACCAAGUUCAAGAACGGUUAGUAACCACUAAACCCAAAAGCUUAAGUAAAACAAAAGAAGUUACCAAGUUCGAGUACGGUUAGUAACCACUGAACCCAAAAGCUUAAUAACUUGAACUUUUUGUUCGAUGUUGUGUUAAAUCGCUACUUAGCUCAACAGUUUAAGUUGAUGAGAGACUAACUUUAGCACGUUAUCCAAUCACUAAAAUAUUACGGGUUCGUCUUUGUGAUUGGACGACAUAACAUGAACAAAGAAAGGGCUUACGUUGAGUAUUUUCCAUCAAAUGGAAAGGUCAUGAGCCCUUUAAUACCACCACAAGCACUGUGACCGAUCACAACAAUGUAUUGAACCUGCACCAGCCAAAACAUUCAUUCAUCACCCAAAUUUACUAUUUAAAAGCUCUCCCAAGUCAAAGUACAUGACUUCUUGGGUUCGUCUUCGGUACAAAUUAACUUCAAACUAACAAUAACGACUGAAGUGUAAGGUCGAAAACGAGGUAUAUACCUUGAGAUGAAGAACAGCAUAUUCAAUGGCGGAUCCAGUUCCUGAGAAUUUGCUCUGUUUUCAACGGAU